rnacentral:rRNA from 1 species
GAUCAAGCUACAAAGGGCGCACGGUGAAUGCCCUGGCACUAGGAGCCGAUGAAGGACGUGAUAAGCUGCGAUAAGCUUCGAGUAGGUGCAAAUAACCUGUGAUUCGAAGAUGUCCGAAUGGGGAAACCCGGCAGGCUAACGCCUGUCACUAUAUGCUGAAUACAUAGGUAUAUAGAGGUAGACUCGGGGAACUGAAACAUCUAAGUACCCGAAGGAAGAGAAAGAAAAAUCGAUUUCCUGAGUAGCGGCGAGCGAAACGGAAAGAGCCCAAACCAGGAACUUGUUCCUGGGGUUGAGGAUAGAACAUAACGCUUUGAUUUUCUUAGCCAAAUAUAACUGGAAAGUUAAGCCACAGAAGGUAAUAGCCCUGUAGGCGAAAAGAAAAGAAAAGUAGUUCUACUCCAGAGUACCACGAGACACGAGAAACCUUGUGGGAAGCAGGGAGGACCAUCUCCCAAGGCUAAAUACUACCUAGUGACCGAUAGUGAAGCAGUACCGUGAGGGAAAGGUGAAAAGAACCCCGGAAGGGGAGUGAAAUAGAACCUGAAACCGUGUGCCUACAAACGGUCGGAGCACUUUAUAUGUGUGACGGCGUGCUUUUUGUAGAACGAGCCAGCGAGUUACGAUAUACAGCAAGGUUAAGCACUUAAGGUGUGGAGCCGAAGGGAAACCGAGUCUGAAUAGGGCAACUAGUUGUAUGUCGUAGACCCGAAACCGAGUGACCUAUCCAUGGCCAGGUUGAAGCGAAAGUAAAAUUUCGUGGAGGACCGAACCACGUUGGUGUUGAAAAACCAUGGGAUGAGCUGUGGAUAGCGGAGAAAUUCCAAUCGAACUCGGAGAUAGCUGGUUCUCCUCGAAAUAGCUUUAGGGCUAGCGUCGGGUAAUUAAGUAGUGGAGGUAGAGCACUGAAUGGGCUAGGGGGCAUAGCGCUUACCGAACCCUAUCAAACUCCGAAUGCCAUAUACUUGUAUCCCGGCAGUCAGGCUGCGAGUGAUAAGAUCCGUGGCCAAAAGGGAAACAGCCCAGACCAUCAGCUAAGGUCCCAAAGUGUAAGUUAAGUGGGAAAGGAUGUGGGAUUUCUAAGACAACUAGGAUGUUGGCUUAGAAGCAGCCACUCAUUUAAAGAGUGCGUAAUAGCUCACUAGUCGAGAGAUCCUGCGCCGAAGAUGUACCGGGGCUAAAACUUACCACCGAAGCUAUGGAUGUACACUACGUGUACGUGGUAGAGGAGCUUUCUACACAGGCUGAAGCCAUACCGUAAGGAGUGGUGGACAGUGUAGAAGUGAGAAUGCUGGCAUAAGUAGCGAGAAACAGGUGAGAAUCCUGUUGGCCGAAUAUCUAAGGUUUCCUGGGGAAGGCUCGUCCUCCCAGGGUUAGUCGGGACCUAAGCCGAGGCCGAAAGGCGUAGGUGAUGGACAACUGGUUGAUAUUCCAGUACCACCAAUAUGCGUUUGACAGAUGGGAUGACGCAGGAGGAUAGGAUGUGCACACUAUUGGAUGUGUGUUCAAGCACUUAGGAGGACUAGACAGGAAAAUCCGUUUAGUCAUAACUCUGAGGUGUGAUGAGGAGCCAAUUGAGGCGAAGUAUCUGAUUCCACGCUGCCAAGAAAAGUCUCUAUGGAGUAUGUUGGUGCCCGUACCGCAAACCGACACAGGUAGAUGAGGAGAGAAUCCUAAGGCCGGCGGAAGAAUUACUGCUAAGGAACUCGGCAAAUUGACCCCGUAACUUAGGGAGAAGGGGUGCCUACGAGAGUAGGCCGCAGUGAACAGGCCCAAGCAACUGUUUAUCAAAAACACAGGUCUCUGCUAAAGCGUAAGCUGAUGUAUAGGGGCUGACGCCUGCCCGGUGCUGGAAGGUUAAGGGGAAUGGUUAGUCUUCGGGCGAAGCCAAGAACUUAAGCCCCAGUAAACGGCGGCCGUAACUAUAACGGUCCUAAGGUAGCGAAAUUCCUUGUCGGGUAAGUUCCGACCCGCACGAAUGGCGUAAUGAUUUGGGCACUGUCUCGGCAGUAAAUCCGGUGAAAUUGAAGUGUGAGUGAAGAUGCUCACUACCCGCGGUUGGACGGAAAGACCCCGUAGAGCUUUACUGUAGCUUAGCAUUGAAUUUCGGUAUUGUCUGUACAGGAUAGGUGGGAGACUGAGAAUCAGGGGCGUCAGCUUCUGAGGAGUCGACCUUGGGAUACCACCCUGACAGUAUUGGAAUUCUAACUGGCGGCCAUGAAUCUGGUCACAGGACAUUGCUAGGUGGGCAGUUUGACUGGGGCGGUCGCCUCCUAAAAGGUAACGGAGGCGCCCAAAGGUUCCCUCAGCGCGGUCGGAAAUCGCGCGAAGAGUGUAAAGGCAGAAGGGAGCCUGACUGCGAGACAUACAGGUCGAGCAGGGACGAAAGUCGGGCUUAGUGAUCCGGUGGUUCUGAAUGGAAGGGCCAUCGCUCAACGGAUAAAAGCUACCUCGGGGAUAACAGGCUGAUCUCCCCAAGAGUCCACAUCGACGGGGAGGUUUGGCACCUCGAUGUCGGCUCGUCGCAUCCUGGGGCUGUAGUCGGUCCCAAGGGUUGGGCUGUUCGCCCAUUAAAGCGGCACGCGAGCUGGGUUCAGAACGUCGUGAGACAGUUCGGUCCCUAUCCGCCGUGGGCGCAGGAAAUUUGAGAGGAGCUGUCCUUAGUACGAGAGGACCGGGAUGGACCAACCUCUGGUGCACCAGUUGUCACGCCAGUGGCACAGCUGGGUAGCUAUGUUGGGAAGGGAUAAACGCUGAAAGCAUCUAAGCGUGAAGCCCACCUCAAGAUUAGAUUUCCCAUAGCGUAAGCUAGUAAGACCCCUGGAAGACUACCAGGUUGAUAGGUCAGAGGUGUAAGCGUGGUAACAUGUUAAGCUGACUGAUACUAAUAGGUCGAGGGCUUGAUCAA